UGCCCAGCAACUCCUAUCCCCUACCUACUCUGGGUGCCGGCCGGAAACUAUGAGCAACCUUAAGGAAGAUCGGGUAACCAACUCCGGUGGAAACUUUGGUCGUAGGCUAACAGGGAAGG
rfam:Aedes albopictus isolate Foshan contig162754, whole genome shotgun sequence.